AAGUAGCGGUAGUUGUUUGGGAGGGAUGAAUUAACUUCAUCAUGGUGCCGGCACAGUUAGGGCAUGCCCUACGCAUCUACUACCCACCUGCCCAACAUCACCAUGUGCCUUGUGCUGCUGAAACGGUGACUUUUGAAGUGUGUAAAUUACGGAGGGUGCAAAAUGAAAAUUGGUCUCACGCCUGCGGCCACAUUAUAUACGAUGCGAUUAGCCUGGCUCUCCCAUCUGCCAGUUAAUUCGUUGAUUGCAUGGAGAUCAUGGAGGCGGAAUCGGCGUGGGAGGAGGAACUGUUCCUGGACGAGCUGGACAUCGGCGGCGUCCUGCUCAUAGACGACGAGCGGCUCGGGUCGGUGAUCCGGUCCCUGGAGGCGGAGAUCUCCGCCGCCGCGGUCCUCGGCGCCGACGAGGACUCGGUGGCGGAGCAGUGCUCGAAUAUGCAUGACAGCGGGAGGUGCGAGGACUGCAGAAUGGAGGACAUUUUGACGGGCGGUGGCAGCCGCUCGACGACGACGGCGUGCCUCGUGGAGGAGGAUCAGGCCGAGUGGGACGCGGCGGCGACCGGAGAUCAGUCGCCGUGCGGCGGCGAGAUGGGCGGUUGGUACGUGGAUGAGCUGCUCGAGAUGGGAGGUGUGAUUUGGUGUGAAGGGAGAACAGGGUGCUCUGCUUCGCACCACAACGGCGGAGGGGAAUGGGAGUGGGAAACUUGUGCAGAGCCGUAUUACUGUUCCCUGUGGGAAUGAAGUAUUCAAUAAUAAAAAUGUCCUUUACGCCGUCCUGUUUACUUAAAUGUUUACUCAGAUGUAAACUUAAAAUAUUAACAGGUAUACGUGAUCGAAUUUGUUUCUUUCCCUAGUAGUAAACAUCCAUGAUGGCCCACAUGAUUUAGGCUUCCCUAUUGGGCCGGGGUGGGCUUCGGUUUCCAUGGAGGCCCAUAUCAGUGUCCCCAGGAGUUAUCGAUGGAUCGCGUUGGUGUUUGGCACAUUGAUCGGGACGAGAGAAUCACAGAGGAUUGAGUAGUAGUCUAGGGUUAGGUCUUGGCAGUCAUGGCGACGCAGCAGCAAGGAGGAGCGAGCGGCGCAAAGAGGAAGCCGGUGUUCACGAAGGUGGAUCAGCUGAAGCCCGGGACGAGCGGCCAUACCCUCACCGUCAAGGUGCUGAAAUCCGAUACCACUGUCUACAAGGGCCGCGCCGCCGUCGCUGCAGGACAACUACGUCCCACCAGGAUCGCUGAGUGCCUCAUCGGAGACGAGACCGGUACCAUCGUCUUCACGGCUCGCAACGAGCAAGUUGAUACGAUGAAGCCAGGCACCACAGUCAUUCUCCGCAACGCAAAGAUUGACAUGUUUAAAGGCUCAAUGAGGCUAGCUGUCGACAAAUGGGGGCGCAUUGAGGCGACUGAGCUUGCUGAUUUCACAGUGAAAGAGGACAACAAUCUGUCUCUGAUCGAGUAUGAGUUAGUAAACGUGGCCACAGAGUGACAACUUUACCUCAGAGAUCAAUCCCAGUUGGUGCAGAAAAUGAUCCUGGUGUUGAAGUUCCAAGCAGAUGAACUUGAGGGCGUUCACCACCUGGUAGGAAUCCAAAUGAAUUUAGCCCACUGCCUCUUUUAAAUUUUAGUUGAUGUUUUAUGACGCACCGAUAGAUUCUGAAAUAAACAAAAUUUUGUACUAGAUCUUCCCAUCAA